CCUUUGUACACACCGCCCGUCGUUAUUUCCGAUCGAAUGGCUCAGUGAGGCCUUGGGACUGGCUCAGAGAGGUCGGCAACGACCACUCAGAGCCGGAAACUUGGUCAAACUUGGUCAUUUAGAGG
rnacentral:rRNA from 1 species